rnacentral:rRNA from 1 species
UACGAAGGGUGCUAGCGUUGUUCGGAAUUACUGGGCGUAAAGCGCACGUAGGCGGCCAUUUAAGUUGGAGGUGAAAGCCUUGGGCUCAACCCAAGAAUUGCCUUUGAUACUGGAUGUCUCGAGACCGGGAGAGGUGAGUGGAAUUCCGAGUGUAGAGGUGAAAUUCGUAGAUAUUCGGAAGAACACCAGUGGCGAAGGCGGCUCACUGGCCCGGUUCUGACGCUGAGGUGCGAAAGCGUGGGGAGCAAACAGG